UUGUUGCAGUUAAAAAGCUCGUAGUCGGAUUUCAGUAUUAGGCCCUUCUUCCAAUACGGUUGCUAGUGGUCUUUACUUCCUUAACAGAAUCUUUCAUCUCAUUAAUUUGGGGUGUUUGGGGCCUGUUUCUUUUACUUUGAGAAAAUUAGAGUGUUCAAAGCGGGUUUUCGCCUGGAUAUUACUCUUGGAAUAAUAAUAUAGGACUUUGGUUCUUUUUUGUUGGUGACUUAGAACCGAAGUAAUGAUUGAUAGGGACAGUUGGGGUCAUUCGUACUAUGAGCGAGAGGUGAAAUUCAUGGACCUUUGUAUGACGAACUACUGCGAAAGCAUUUGACUAGGAUGUUCCCGUUGAACAAGAACGAAAGUUGGGGGAUCGA
rnacentral:rRNA from 1 species